CAAAGAGUUAUAUAGAAAUAUAAAUUUGUCGAAAAUAUUCAGUCUAGUGCUAUUAUUUUCAAGAUAAUAUUAUGAAUGUGGUAAGUGGUAUGUUAUUCAGGGCUCUAAGCACUUAGCUAUGUCAACUUGAAAUAUUAUUUAUUUUCCACACUAAUAAAAUGAAACAAAGUUAGGAUAAGAUGACAUUAAAGAUAUCUUGAGGUUCUGGGAAUUUGUCAAAACUUUUUUUUGUUGUUUUUUCUUUUCGAGACAGAGUAUUGCCCUGUCGCCCAGGCUGGAAUGCAAUGGCACGAUCUCAGCUCACUGCAACCUCUGCCUCCCAGGUUCAAACAAUUGUCCUGCCUCAAUCUCCCGAGUAACUGGAUUACAGGUGUCCGCCACCACGCUCAGCUAAUUUUUGUGUUUUUAGUAGAGACAGCAUUUCACCAUGUUGGCCAGGCUGGUCUCGAACUCCUGACCUCGUGAUCCACCCGCCUCAGCCUCCCAAAGUGCUGGGAUUACAGGUGUGAGCCACCGCGCCUGGCCCUAAAACUUCUUACUGAAAUUAGUCUAGUAUUGACAGUAACUAGAUACAUAGAGACUGAGUUGUAGUCUGUAUGUCAGAGUUAUGUGUAUUCCAAUCAGCUCUCUCUAUAAUUGGUACUUCAUAAUGCAAAUGCUAAACUGAGUCUGGAGUUUUCAGAGUUGUAUAGUCUCUGACAAAAUGCCCCUCAUUUGUUUUUAUUAUUGUGUUCAUGGACUAUAUAUUAUGUACUAAUGCCCAAUAUGUUCCUGAUUUUAAGUGAAGCCAUUUAUCUUAUUUAUUUUCAAUCCAUUUAUAACAUAUUGUUAAUUUAAAAAUAUCUUCAGGACAACUGGUUGAGUUAGGAGGAAAUGUGCCUGGGACUCCAGGGGAUGUUUCUAGAUAGAGAAGUAGAAUUUUGGCCUGAGCACAUUUUUGUGGCUUAGAUUGAUACUGUCUUCUUCAGUGUUUAUUUCCUGAAUUAAUCCUGAUUGCUCAAAACACAGUUAAUUUUCCUGUUGUUUUUUGUCUGCCUCUCCGGUCUAGACUGGAAAUAUGUCUUCUCUAAACAUUUGGUAAAUAGCCCAACCUGAAACUCCUUUACCAAAUCUAUAUACAGCAUUUCCCCAGGAAAAAUACUAAAUUUGACCACUAUACCCAAAAGGAAAAUCUUAGCAACCUUUCCAAAUUUAAACAUUAUGAUUUUUCCAACAAGGAUCUUUGGAAGCAAAGAUGUAUGGAGUUUGCAUAUUUUGGUUUACAGAAACUCAAACUGAAAUUUGAUUCACCUUACUUUUCAUUAAGUACAAGGAAGAGAAUAAUCCAGGCUUUUCCUAGAAUUAAAUAUAAUCUCUUUCCAACUGUAUUCUGUGAAUUUAAAAGCACUUCAAGUGAUUAAAAAUAACUUUGUAUCUAUAACUCAGUCACAGUGCAUAUGAUCACAGCACAGCUGACUUUUAUCACAUGUGAUAUCUUACAAAUAAAUGGCCUUGUCUGUGAGAGAGAGGAAUUUUAGAUUUAUAAAAUUGAAGAUUAAAACUAAGCAAAUUCCAGGUUCUAUUUUAAAGUCUGUGCUUUAGCAAAAUACUUUCCAAGUAAUGUUGAUUAGAGAGCAAUGCAUAUUCAACUAGUUUAAGAUUUUUUUAUUUGCAUUGAUGGUUUUGCUCAUUUAAAAACACAGUUUAGUACUUUAGUCCAGGUUAUAAUCUAUAUUAUUAGAGCUAUAGAUUACUUGAAAAUUAAAUAUUACUUUUAUCACUCAUUAUUAUUGUUAAACUUGAAAACUUUACACAGUAUAAGAAUUGGUUCAUUAGAGAGAGGGAUGGAUUACUUUGUGGUCUCUCAUGCAAAUUAUGUGUGUUUGCAUCUUUCUAAAUGUACCGGGGAGGCUAUUUUAAUAAUGUUUGGAAAUGAAGAUUUUGGAAAAAGGGAAAGGAGCUAAUAACUAUUCAGUCUUGUGUUAAAUUAACAUUAGAAAAAGCUCCUGGAAUUUGAGUGGAUUUAUGAACUAUAAAAAUAUUCAAUUUUUGAGAUGGAUUGACCUAUACCUCACAAUUUUAAGAGUUUGAUUUUGAACACCUUAGUAAAAUUAAACUUCUCCUGAUCACAGCAUUUUGUAUUACUAAAAGAUGUACAAAUACAGUAAUGUUUAGAAUUGUUGCUCUAUAUAUUAAAUAGCAU
rnacentral:lncRNA from 1 species